ensembl:lncRNA
AAAAAGGUGGGGGGUUCAUUUUCUGGGGCAAGAGGUAAAGAGGUAUAUAGCUUAGUGGUAGAGUGCUUUUGCCCAGCAUGCGCAAGGCUCUGGUUUUGAUCCCUAACACUGCAAAGACAACUUUUUUUCUUUCCUAAUUCUAAUUUCUCUGAAUUCCAUUUCCAUUCUGCUUUCUAAGAGUGUUCAUCAGCUUUCUAUUAGUGUGACAAGAUACCUGGGAUUAUCAAUUUAUGAGGAAGAAAGGUUUAUUUUGGCUUCUGCUUUCAGAUGGUUCAGUUCAUGGUCCAGGGCCUUUGGAUCUGUGUGCUGAGGAUUAAACAUAGGGUCCUGAGCAUGAGACAAGUGCAUUACCAUUGAGUGCCAUCCUCCACCUGUGUGGAAUAAAAUUUGAUGACAUGGUCAUCUUGAUAAAGUACUAGGAUAAGGUUCUAAAAUUACAGAAGUAGUCUGGGGAGCACCUGGUUGGGAUGGAAAGUGAUGGCUCCUUAACCCUGACCCAGACUGGGCAUAUUAGCUGAUGCUUCUCUCAGGAUAAC